AGAUGACAGAGUAAAGGAAUAAGAUGCUGUUAACAACAAUGACAUCUAAUAACCAUAUGACAUAAUCUAGAGUUUGGACUGUUCUGCUCUGCCUGCCAGCAUAAAAAUUUCAAACUCUGCAUGGCACUCAGAUGCUAAAAGUAAUGGGUGAUAAAUAAAUAACAUUGUUUUGUUCACAAUGGCAAUGACUCAGGAUGCUCAAGAGACAAAAAAUGAUUCAUAUGUAGCCUUCAGACCUCAUCAACUGUAAGCUAUUUUGCUUGCCCUCAGGAAUUCAGUAACUGGGGCAGGGGAACAGACAGUGAUUAGCAUGUUAGUGCUGUGCUUGUCUACUCUAUGUUAAUUUACAAUUGUUCUGUGUUCGAGUCAGUUGUUACUUAUUCCCAGGGUGGUUGCAGUGAGGAUACUGAGAGAAGCUGUGUGCGCUAGGAUGUGCUGGUGGAAUGAAUUCUGCUACCACUUCACAAGAUAGUAGAACUUGACAACUGUGAUGAGAAGCAAAUGUCUAAUUUGAAAGGGCCAAUUCAGGGAUACAGUUUCUGCCUGGUACUAUUGUCUGUUCUGCAGAAACCUACACAAUCAUGAACUUCCAUCUUCAGCCUUGUGCACCGUGGGAUCCAGAUGGACGUUUUUGCUGAGUCUGGGAUUUGGAAAAUAAUGAAGAAAUGGCUGUAUCUCAGAGGGAAUGAGUGAAGUUUUGCAGAAAAUAACUGAAGAAAGGUCAGAUUUGUGAGUAGUGUAUAUUGUGAAAUGUACAUUGUGAAACUAAUGAAAAACUUGUGAAAUUGGUUUUUACCAGUAGAAGAAAAGCAGAAUCUGACCCAUAGGGAGAAGCAACGAGUAUGGAGUCAGAAUGGUACAAUAGUUUUAUUUACAUAAAGAUUUAGUAAAACAAGCUGUGUUAUUUUAGCUGAGCCUGCCCGAUUUACUAUCCAAACACAAUAGUCAAUGAUACAUAACUGGCAUCUGAUCACUACAGAAGUGGAAUUCUGUUGAGCAAUGUUCCAUGUUAGGAGUGGUUUUCUUCUCCCAGUGUAAUGCCAGUGAAGCCUGCUACACAAUGCUGAGAGAGUGCACACAAGAGAGUAGUAGCCCCACAUGUGCUUUUGGAAGGCAAGGGAUAAUCCCAUGUUGUAACAGUAAAAUCUUUGUGCUUAUGACUGUCAGUACACUGCUCCAGAGGCUUCUGCAAUCUUUGGUCUGAGUUACAUUAAGACCAGGGAGCAGCCAAAUUUUAGGCAGCUUGUGGUUGCCCACAGACUUUGGGUUGUUGUAGUGUAAGAUGCUCAUGAUCAACAUUCCCUUCUCUUUUGCACCCAAAACAUGGAACAACACCAAGUAUCCCAGUUCUGACAGAGGCAUUGCAGUUCUGCAGCAUCUUUGCCAAAGAGUACAGAUGAUCUUGCUUUGCUCAGAAGCAAGUGAGAACAAACGUGAUAUUCUAAUACAAAAUACUUCCCCUUCAGAAAAUAAUGUUUUUCCACAUUCCCUUCUUUGUUUUGCAGGUGUACUCCUCAUUUGUCAUUUCAUUUCUCUCCCUUUUAUCUCACAGUCCCAUUAAUGGUAUCCUUUAGAUACAGAGGAGUUAACUGUGAUUUUGAAACUGUCACUGUAGUUUGUUUACAGCAUUAUGUAAAAACCCUCCCAUGCUAUGAAACUGACACAAGAAAUAACUUUGUCUCUGUGGAAGGAUUAAGUUCUAGGUGACUAGCCUGUAGUCCUCCCAAGCUCUAUUUCUUGCUAAUUUUCUAUUACCUGAGACUAGAUAUAUUUCAGAAAGUCACAAGACUGAUUUUUUCCACACUAGUAACAAUUACAGAAUGUUUUAGGCUUUUCCUUUCUCUUCCCCACAUUCUUGCCUUUACAGUUUUUAUCACCAUAAUUUGACUGUUAUUUCAGUAAAGAAACAAGUGGGUGAGAGGUACGCAUUUCUGAACUGAGUGAUAUUAACUUGCUUUUCCUCUGCUGCUUUUGGGUGUAAAGGAUGUAUGAAGUGACUAUGUGUGCAACUGAUAUCAAUAUUUUCUUAACUAGGUAGCUAGGAUGCAUAUACUACAUAUACAUAUGUAUUAUGUAUAUGUAUACUACAUAUACAUGUAUUUUCUAGGUCAAUCAAAAC